GAUGAACGCUGGCGGCGUGCUUAAUACAUGCAAGUCGAGCGAACGGACGAGAAGCUUGCUUCCUUGAUGUUAGGGGCGGACGGGUGCGUAACAGUUGGAUAACCUACCUUUAAGACUGGGUUAACUUCGGGAAACCGGAGCUAAUACCGGAUGAUAUUUUGAACGGCAUGGUUCAAAAGUGAAAGACGGUUUUGCUGUCACUUAUAGAUGGUUCCGCGCUGCAUUAGGUAGUUGGUAAGGUAACGGCUUACCAAGGCAACGAUGCAUAGCCGACCUGAGAGGGUGAUCGGCCACACUGGAACUGAGACACGGUCCAGACUCCUACGGGAGGCAGCAGUAGGGAAUCUUCCGCAAUGGGCGAAAGCCUGACGGAGCAACGCCGCGUGAGUGAUGAAGGUCUUCGGAUCGUAAAACUCUGUUAUUAGGGAAGAACAUAUGUGUAAGUAACUGUGCACAUCUUGACGGUACCUAAUCAGAAAGCCACGGCUAACUACGUG
rnacentral:rRNA from 1 species